CGCCAGCCCGCUCAGAAACUUAAUGAAUUGACGGGGCCCGCACAAGCGGUGAGCAUGUGGUUUAAUUCGAUGAUACGCGAGGAACCUUACCUGGGCUCAAAUGUAUGUUGACGUAUUCUGAAAGGGAUACUUCUUCGGACAAUAUACAAGGUGCUGCAUGGUUGUCGUCAGCUCGUGCCGUGAGGUGUCGGGUUAAGUCCCAUAACGAGCGCAACCCCUAUCAUUAGUUGCCAUCAGGUCAAGCUGGGGACUCUAAUGAAACUGCCUACGCAAGUAGUGAGGAAGGUGGGGAUGACGUCAAAUCAGCACGGCCCUUACGUCCAGGGCUACACACGUGCUACAAUGGCCGGUACAAAGGGCAGCUACCUGGUGACAGGAUGCUAAUCUCAAAAGCCGGUCUCAGUUCGGAUCGGAGUCUGCAACUCGACUGCGUGAAGUCGGAAUCGCUAGUAAUCGUGAAUCAGAAUGUCACGGUGAAUACGUUCCCGGGCCUU
rnacentral:rRNA from 1 species